rnacentral:rRNA from 1 species
AUGGCGAGCACUACCAAUCCCGCGGUGAUUUUCUGCAUUAUUCUAGUUUUCCUGCAGGUGUCUUGCACCGUUUCCCGGCGCCCCACGGAAGGCAAGUUUGAGCUUCAACAGAACGUCCCGGCCGUGAUGACGGUGAACGGCUUCCAGGAAGGAGAGGGGGGCGGCGGGCCGGCGGCGUGCGACGGCCAGUACCACAGCGACGACGAGUUCGUGGUGUCGCUGUCCUCGGAGUGGUUCGCGGGCGGGGCCCGGUGCGGCAGGGUAAUCCGCAUCGUCGACCCUUCCAAUUACGGCAUAAACGCCAAGGUCGUCGACGAGUGCGCCGGCUGCGACAACGAAGUGGGCGCCUCAUCCCAUAUCUGGAAGAACUUCGAUCUUGACACCAGCCUCGGUCAGGUGGACAUGAAAUGGUCGGACCUCGACUUCUAA